ACUUCGAAACGCCCAGUUGCUUUGUGGCAUCAAGACUUCAUUGCACUGUACGGUUCGAGGCGA
rnacentral:pre_miRNA from 1 species